UACGGGGGGGGGCAAGCGUUGUUCGGAAUUACUGGGCGUAAAGAGCGUGUAGGCGGCCACGCAGAUCCGUUGUGAAAACUGGAGGCUCAACUUCCAGACGUCGACGGAAACCGUGUGGCUAGAGUCCGGAAGAGGAGAGUGGAAUUCCUGGUGUAGCGGUGAAAUGCGCAGAUAUCAGGAAGAACACCAAUGGCGAAGGCAGCUCUCUGGGACGGUACUGACGCUGAGACGCGAAAAGCGUGGGGAGCGAACAGG
rnacentral:rRNA from 1 species